CCUACGGGUGGCUGCAGUGAGGAAUAUUGGUCAAUGGGUUGGAGCCUGAACCAGCCAAGCCGCGUGAGGGAAGAAGGUACUGCGUAUCGUAAACCUCUUUUGUCAGGGAACAAAGGCGGGGACUAGUCCCCGGAUGAGGGUACCUGAAGAACAAGCAUCGGCUAACUCCGUGCCAGCCGCCGCGGUAAUACCGAGGAUGCGAGCGGUAUCCGGAUUUAUUGGGUUUAAAGGGUGCGCAGGCGGCCUGUUAAGUCAGCGGUAAAAGCCCGGGGCUCAACCCCGGCGAGCCGUUGAAACUGGCGGGCUGGAGUGGGAGAGAAGUAGGCGGAAUGCGCGGUGUAGCGGUGAAAUGCUUAGAUAUCGCGCAGAACCCCGAUUGCGAAGGCAGCGUACCGGCGCCAAACUGACGCUGAGGCACGAAAGCGUGGGUAUCGAACAGGAUUAGAUACCCGAGUAGUC
rnacentral:rRNA from 1 species